ACAGAUUAUUUCAGCAAUGAAAACAUACUGGGUAGAGGUGGAUUUGGUAAGGUUUACAAGGGGCGUUUGGAAGAUGGUUCAAUUGUUGCUGUAAAAAGACUGGAGAAUGAACCUACACCUGAUGGGGAACUUCAGUUUCAAACAACAACAGGGAUCAUCAACAGGGCUGUGCAUCGAAAUGUUCUUAGGCUACGUGGGUUUUGUAUG
rnacentral:misc_RNA from 1 species